rnacentral:rRNA from 1 species
AUAUCAAUAAGCGGAGGAAAAGAAACCAACAGGGAUUGCCUUAGUAGCGGCGAGUGAAGCGGCAAAAGCUCAAAUUUGAAAUCUGGUACUUUCAGUAUCCGAGUUGUAAUUUGUAGAAGCAACUUUGGUGAUGGUCUUUGCAUAAGUUCCUUGGAAUAGGACGUCAUAGAGGGUGAGAAUCCCGUUUAUGGUGAAGAACCCACACUAUGUAAAGUGCUUUCGAAGAGUCGAGUUGUUUGGGAAUGCAGCUCAAAGUGGGUGGUAAAUUCCAUCUAAAGCUAAAUAUUGGCGAGAGACCGAUAGCGAACAAGUACUGUGAAGGAAAGAUGAAAAGAACUUUGAAAAGAGAGUGAAAAAGUACGUGAAAUUGUUGAAAGGGAAGGGAUCUAAAUCAGACAUGGUAUUUUGUGAUCAACAGUCUUUCGGGACUGUGCACUCGCAUUUUACUAGGCCAGCAUCGGUUAGAAGGGGGUAAAAAAGAUUUUGGAAUGUGGCUCCUCGGAGUGUUAUAGCCAAGGUUAAUUGCCCCAUUUCUGACCGAGGACCGCGUCUUUUGACUAGGAUGCUGGCGUAA